GUCAUGCCUGGCUACAGCCAGUGUCAUUUUUACACGGAUAAGACAUGACUUAUUUCAUUUGAUGAGGAUAUUUCUUUUUUAAUAUCUUUGCCACCUUCAAGCCAAGGGUGUCUUUUGAUGUGUGGAACCUUAGCAAAGCAUGUGACCAAGAUACUGAACCCUGGAGCUAAGGGUCUUUCGUCGUAGGAUCACAAACGCCAAUUCAAAACUAGGAUUUGAACCAGCAAGCUCCUGGUGGUGUGACCCACCCUGAAAUCAUGUGGCAGUGCCAUUCCUGAAGAAACCAUUGGGGACCACCACUAAAUAAUAUUUUAUAUUCUUUAGACCUGGAGUAAAACUCUGCAGAGAUAUCGAAGUCUAACCCACCAGUGCUCAGUGUUAAGGAAGACCAGGCCGAUCUGUGGAAAUGUGAUGGAACUAGGAUCUCCUCGUACAUGACAGCACCCCAGAGUACAGUGGAGAUUCUGAUUCCAUGCAGAUUGAAGAUCUUGUUUGUUGUGUUAAGCACCAGGGUCACUGGGUAUGAACCGGCAUGAUGUGCUGCAGCUCGCGACAGGGAUCAUCUGCUGUUUGACAAAAGACAGGUUGACUGUAAAGCUCCAUUAGCUCUUUAAUUGAAUUUGAUAAUAAUCUGCAUUAUCUGGGUGGCAACUCAACAGAGGUUAAAUAGGUUACAUUACCUCAAAUUAUUUAACUGUUGAUAUCUUUAAAGUGGGUGCACAGUAAUGCUGAAUUAAUGCCAUUCAUGCAGAAAUGUUCAUACAGAAUUACAUUUUAGUUACUCCCACUUAUUAUAAAAU